AGCUAAGUGGGUUAGCAAGGUCAAACCACUGAACUCAGUUAUCGCUAGCUUACCUAACGCUAGCCUCAGAGGCUGUGAGCUAACGUUACUGAAGCUAAAUGCACUGAUGUUAGCUCAUACCCGAUGCUAGCCACAUUUUUGACCUCACGGCCGUUGGAAAUAUUGGAUUUAAACAUUGUUUUCGCCCCGGGCAAACACUUAUCACUCUGGGCAGACCCGAAGACGUCAGCAGAAUCACGAAAAUGACUUUAAAGAUACAACUUGCUGCUGGAUAACAUCUAAAAAUCACGUUUCGAUGAAUCCGCAAAGGGACAUCAAGAUAAAUUCAGACCCACCGGAGGAAAGACAAUCUUCUUAGCGACUUAUAAAGCGAUGAUGAGGCCAUGUCAGACGCUGUUCAUCCACUUGGUGAAGGUUUUCUUCUGCACCGCCAUCCUCUGCUCCUGCAGCUCCCUGACUCGCCCCGCCCCGUCCUCCUCGCCCUCCAUCCUGAUUGGCUGGAAGCACACGGAGAAAAGUUUCAAAGAUGCUUCAAAAGGUGGAGAUGGUAAGGUGCCAGCUUCAGUUGUCUUCCGCAGAACUCGGGAUCAAACCAGAAGCCGUUGGGCCUGAUGCUCGUUUUCAUUCCCGACACCCCGAGACAUUUCAUUUCAUGACCCUCCCGAAUCCGCCAUGAAACCCGGAAGAUCCCAGCUGCUCUUCGGCAGACAUGUUCAUUCUGUGCAGCUGAUCAUCAUCUUCAUAUAAUAUAAAAAUGCAACUUCAAGUAGGUUUUGUGAGGAAUGUAAUGCUGCCUGGAUUAUGUUUUUUUAUCAACAGAAUGAAGAAACUUAAUGAAAAGUUACUUAACAUAUUUGCAAAAUGUUCACUGACAGCGUAUCGAAUUAGUUUUCCUACAAUAUCCAAUAGCAACUGAAGCAUAAUUAACAUUUUUAUGGUUUUGUAUUGUCGACCCCUUUAAGUGUUAGGAAAAUAUGGUUUUGAUGUUUAAAUAUUUUACGAGUCAUGAGACAGGACAUGUUUACUUUUUCAGUAUUAAACCAAACCAAAGCGACACUAUUUAACUUUGGAAACAAGAAAUAACACAAUCUUUCUCUCACAAAUGUAACGUUAAGUUCAUAA